rnacentral:rRNA from 1 species
GUCUGCUUAGGGGACAGACAGAGGGCAAGAUUCUGGACUAACAAGUGGCUGCCUAGAGGGGUCUCCAUAGAAGACUUGACUCCGGCCUUAUUCCCGUUUGUCAAGGAUUCUUGGCGAUCGGUUAAGGAGGCUCUUCACAAUGGUAUUUGGAUCAGGGGUAUCUCAGGAGGGAUUUUGGUACAGGCCAUGGCUCAAUAUCUCAAAAUUUGGGACAUCACUCAGCAUGUCUCCUUAUCCAUGGGUGUUCCUGAUUGCUUAGUAUGGAAGUGGACCAAAGAUCACAAGUUCUCUGUUGGCAUAUAG